rnacentral:rRNA from 1 species
UUAAAUUGAAGAGUUUGAUCAUGGCUCAGAUUGAACGCUGGCGGCAGGCCUAACACAUGCAAGUCGAACGGUAACAGGAAUCAGCUUGCUGAUUUGCUGACGAGUGGCGGACGGGUGAGUAAUGUCUGGGAAACUGCCUGAUGGAGGGGGAUAACUACUGGAAACGGUAGCUAAUACCGCAUAACGUCGCAAGACCAAAGAGGGGGACCUUCGGGCCUCUUG